AUUGAACGCUGGCGGCAUGCCUUACACAUGCAAGUCGAACGGCAGCACGGGAGCAAUCCUGGUGGCGAGUGGCGAACGGGUGAGUAAUAUAUCGGAACGUGCCCAGUCGUGGGGAUAACGUAGCGAAAGCUACGCUAAUACCGCAUACGAUCUACGGAUGAAAGCGGGGGAUCGCAAGACCUCGCGCGAUUGGAGCGACCGAUAUCAGAUUAGGUAGUUGGUGAGGUAAAGGCUCACCAAGCCGACGAUCUGUAGCUGGUCUGAGAGGACGACCAGCCACACUGGGACUGAGACACGGCCCAGACUCCUACGGGAGGCAGCAGUGGGGAAUUUUGGACAAUGGACGCAAGUCUGAUCCAGCCAUUCCGCGUGCAGGAUGAAGGCCCUCGGGUUGUAAACUGCUUUUGUACGGACGAAAAGGUUUCUAUUAAUACUAGGAGCUCAUGACGGUACCGUAAGAAUAAGCAACCGGCUAACUACGUGCCAGC
rnacentral:rRNA from 1 species